rnacentral:piRNA from 1 species
UAUCUCAUGACACCCAUGAUGAACAUUACAA